UUCUAUGACAGACAAUGUCGCUUUGCCAACAAAAUGCUUGGGAAAAAGAGCAAGAUAUAGUUCAGUAGCUCCUGUAGAAAGGCAAUGCGCCUGGGAAACAGCACCCCUGCCUUCCUGUUCUCAUGAGCCUUCGGAGCCCCUGAGAGCUGAUCUUGGAUACCAGCCUUCUGGGACUCUGGGUUAUUUACCAGGCUGCAUCCCUGAGCUUCCAGAGCAACUUAAGCACCACUGCUGUGCAGUCCGAAAUACAGAGGUUGAUACAGACCCCGGAGCUAGUAAGCAAAUCAAUGGCAAAGUUGAACAACAAAAUGUGGCUGCUAGGGAUUUCUCUUUCCAUCUUUGUAGUGCAUAUUACAAGAUUUAAAUGCAGA
rnacentral:lncRNA from 1 species